rnacentral:rRNA from 1 species
GACGAACGCUGGCGGCGUGCCUAACACAUGCAAGUCGAGCGAUUGAAUCUCCUUCGGGAGUGAAGCUAGCGGCGGACGGGUGAGUAACACGUGGGCAACCUGCCUCAUAGAGGGGAAUAGCCUUUCGAAAGGAAGAUUAAUACCGCAUAAGAUUGUAGCUUCGCAUGAAGUAGCAAUUAAAGGAGCAAUCCGCUAUGAGAUGGGCCCGCGGGGCAUUAGCUAGUUGGUGAGGUAACGGCUCACCAAGGCGACGAUGCGUAGCCGACCUCGGAGGGUAGUCGCCUGCAAUGGUGCUACGGCACGGCCCAGUGUCCGACGGGAGGCAGAAGUGGGGAAGAGUAAACAAUGGGGGCAACCCGGAGACAGCGACGCCCGGUGAGUGAUGACGGCCUUCGGGUUGUAAAGCGCUGUCUUCAGGGACGAUAAGGACGGUACCUGAGGAGGAAGCCACGGCUAACUACGUGCCAGCCGCCGCGGUAA